rnacentral:misc_RNA from 1 species
AGUUGUUUUUAGGGGCAAGGGAGACGAAUGCUGAUUGGAAGGUCAGAUGCAGCUUUUUAUUUAAUUUUUAUUUUUAUUUUGUCCAUUGCUGUGCCUGGUUUUGACAGAAUUUGCUGAGGCGCAUGGAAGAAAACAAAAUAAGAAAUGUGUAGGUAUUUAUUCAAGGAAAGCGAAAGAAAGAAGGCGAAAGAAAGAACUUAGGUUUUUAACUGGUCUGAAUUGUAAUGUCUUUGGUUUUUGUAUAGCCUUUUUUUUUUUUUUUUUUUUUUUUGGCGUGGAUGAUUAUAUUCUUCUUAUGGUGGCAUUGCAUGGAUGACAAUCUCAGCAUAAGAAGAAUAUAAUCAUCCACGCCAA